ACCAAAAACCAAAACAAUUUAACCAUUCAGUUCACCUUCUCUAAACCCCACUCCUCAAUCUAAUGCACUUCAAUUUUAGGUGCAACACAAUCCUUACCUUCCCCACAUCACAAUACCACUUUCCAAUUCGAAAGCAAAAUCUUUCUGACAAUCCCAGAUUGGGUUUGUGAAAAACGACGGUGACAUGGAGAUCGACAAAGCAGUGAGAGAGUGUGACGAUCGAAGACUUCAGACCAAGUACACCAAUGCUAUCUAUGUCAUUCAGAGAGCUUUGGCUUUGUAUUCUAUUGAGCAGGUUGCCUUCAGUUUCAAUGGCGGAAAGGAUUCAACGGGCUGGCUAUUUCUUGCAUAAAAGGGGGAAUAAUUGUGCCAAUGGGGAUCUCAAAGAUUUUCCAAUUCGAACAAUGUAUUUUGAGAUUCCUUGUGCUUUUGCGGAAAUCAAUUCAUUUACCUAUGAUUCAGCUGCUACCUAUGGUUUGCAAAUUGACACCAUUCGUUCAGAUUUCAAGUCUGGCUUGGAGGCUUUGCUAAAGGAAAAGCAAAUUCGAGCUAUUUUCCUUGGAGUUCGAAUUGGAGAUCCUACUGCGGUUGGCCAAGAACAAUUCUCCCCUAGCUCACCUGGGUGGCCACCUUUUAUGAGAGUGAAUCCCAUUUUAGAUUGGUCAUACAGAGAUGUCUGGGCCUUCCUUUUAACUUGUGAGGUUAAAUAUUGCAGCCUUUAUGAUCAAGGUUAUACUUCAAUUGGGAGCAUACAUGACACAGUUCCCAAUUCAUUAUUAAGAAUUAGCAAUUCUUGCAAUAAAUUCAAACCUGCAUAUUUGCUUGCCGAUGGAAGAUUAGAGAGGGCAGGGAGGGUUAAAAGGUUAUCUUCUACUUGUGCACAACUUCCUGCUGAAAACAAUGGCUUGAGUGGCUGGAAUUUGCAUAAUAACAGCAUGCUCACAGCAUCAGUCAUUGCUGUGGGAGAUGAGAUUUUGUGUGGCAUUGUUGAGGAUCAAUUGGGACCUUCUUUGUCUAGGAAGCUUCAUUCCACUGGUUGGUCUCUUCUACAACUGUCAGUUGUCCACAACAAUAUAGAUUCUGUGGCAGAAGAAGUUGAGCAACAAAAAUCUUCAAGUGAUAUGGUAUUAAUAUAUGGAGGUGUAGGUCCCCUGCAUUCAGAUGUUACCUUAGCAGGUGUUGCAAAAGCAUUUGGUGUUCGUUUGGCUCCUAAUGAGGAAUUUGCAGAGUAUCUCAGGCAUACUGUUGGUGAUAAUUGUACUGUUGACCAGAAUGAGAUGGCUCAACUGCCUGAGGGUAUAACCCAAGUAUUGCAGACUGAAAUUUUUUCUGUACCUUUGAUCAAGUGCCAAAAUGUAAUAAUUCUUUGUGCAACAAAUGUGAAGGAGCUGGAAAAGCAGUGGGACUGUUUGAUGGAGUCAACAAGAUCUAUUGACUUGCUUGCGUCGCUGGAACCAUAUAUAUCCAAGGGUGUAAUGACAAAUCUUUCAGAUGUAUGUGUUAAAUUUAGUUUUGCAAUGCAAUUGACCAUCAACGAUUGUGUAUUGGGCAUGAUUAUAUUCCCUUCAGCUUGAGGAUUAUGAUUUGUUGUGUGCAUUUAUAUACUCUGACAAGUAGCUUUCUAUAUCUUGAACUUCAGUUACAAUGAAUCUGGAGAUUUGUCUUUCAUGAAAAACUUUUGAAAGCAAUCUCAUUUUACUUGUCAUCAUCUUUCUUUAAUUUUUUCCCUUCUAGGGUCAAUUUCAUUUUCAUACUGGGAUAUUUAAACUGCAGGUUGAAAUUGCUCAACCUCUUUUAAAGCUUUGCCUAGAAUUUCCAGACCUGUAUAUUGGAUGUUACCGCAAAUCCAGACAUGAAUGUCUUGUAGUAUGUUUCAAAGGAAAGGACCAAACCCGCAUUGAAUCCGCCAUAAAAGCAUUACACAAGAAGUUUCAACCUGGUGCUUUCAUGGAGAUGGACUAGUAUGAUAUUUGACAAGCCAUGGUCCUCUCUCCUGAAUUCAAACACAAUGGAGAUUUUAGAUGUGUGGUUCAUACCAUUCUCAUGCUUGGAAUCUGCAAAUAAAUGAUGCAUGAUAUGAUUGGGAUGCAGAUGGACUAGUUAAAAAAUCAAGGAAGCUGUCUUAGUAGAAGAAAGAACAAGGGUACAAAUAGAAUGAAGAAGCUUCAAUUCUCUUGCAAAAGAGAAUGGGAUUCACACUACUUUUAACUGCUUCAAGAAACUUGGAUAACAAAUUGAUUAUUAUUCAGUUACUAUCUGAUUAAUGAUUAGCUUAAUUUAUCGCACCGUACC